AUUGAACGCUGGCGGCAUGCCUUACACAUGCAAGUCGAACGGCAGCGGGCUUUCGGGUGCCGGCGAGUGGCGAACGGGUGAGUAAUGCAUCGGAACGUGCCAUUGAGUGGGGGGAUAACGUAGCGAAAGUUACGCUGAUACCGCAUAUUCUGUGAGCAGGAAAGCAGGGGACCGCAAGGCCUUGCGCUCUUUGAGCGGCCGAUGUCAGAUUAGCUAGUUGGUGAGGUAAAGGCUUACCAAGGCGACGAUCUGUAGCGGGUCUGAGAGGAUGAUCCGCCACACUGGAACUGAGACACGGUCCAGACUCCUACGGGAGGCAGCAGUGGGGAAUUUUGGACAAUGGGCGCAAGCCUGAUCCAGCCAUGCCGCGUGAGUGAAGAAGGCCU
rnacentral:rRNA from 1 species